GUUCCUUCCGGGAUAUCCAAUAAAUUUAGAACGAUACAGAGAAAAUUAGCAUGACCAAUGCGCAAGGAUAUGACACACACAAAAAUAAUCGAAUUUUU
rfam:Nicotiana attenuata strain TT chromosome 6, whole genome shotgun sequence.